rnacentral:rRNA from 1 species
UACGUAGGGGCCGAGCGUUGUCCGGAGUUCUUGGGCGUAAAGCGCGCGCAGGCGGCCUCGCGCGCCCGACGUGAAAGCCCCCGGCUUAACCGGGGAGGGUCGUUGGGGACGGCGGGGCUUGAGGGCGGGAGAGGUCGGUGGAAUUCCCGGUGUAGUGGUGAAAUGCGUAGAGAUCGGGAGGAACACCGGUGGCGAAGGCGGCCGACUGGGCCGACCCUGACGCUGAGGCGCGAAGGCGUGGGGAGCGAACGGG